AAAAAAUUAAAAAAAAAUAUUCAACAAUAGUUUGAAAUUAAAGAAAAAAGUAUCUCAAAAAAAAUCUUAAACCUUAAAAGCCUAAACUUUAAUGUAUUUUAAAAUUCAAUUUAUAAAAAAAAAAAAUCAGUAGCCCAACGGGCUGGCCCGCUUCAACCCGCCAGCCCGAACGGGCUAGCCCGAUUUAUAAUCGGGUUGCGAUUUUACAACCCUAACCCUAUAAUUUUAUCGGGUUAUUCGGGUCGGCCCACGGGUUUCGGGCUUGAUUGACAUCCCUAGUAAUAAUAUAAAUAAAUAUAAAACAAAAUUAAAUACAACCCAAUAUGGAGAAGCUUCUACACUUUGAACCCAUUUCCAUUUUUAGGGUUCAUUGCUCAAAUACACAGCUCCUCUCGUUUUAGGGUUUGAACAUGAAUCUGCGCCGCUACUCCCUUCAUCAUCCCUCGUUCCUUUUCUCCCAGCCCAAACCUUCAUCCGUCUUCUGCCCUUUUCUCUGUCUUCUGCCCUUUUCUCCUCCGGCUGUUUAGCGGCGAUAAGCCAUAGGCGCCCAUUGUCUCCCUCUCAAUCACUCACACGACGCAUACACAACAACCAUUGCUGGCGAGAAGCCACGGUCGUCGAUUCUCUCCGUCUUCUGUCUUCCUCUACCUCGCCCUCUAUUUCCCUCGACCUCUGGUUUUGCGACCAACCGCCGUCCAAAAGCCUAGAUCCCCAAACCACCAACUCCGCACUCACAUCUACGCAUUGACGCCGCUCCACGCAGCGUCACCUCCCUCAUCGGCGAAAACGAAUGCGCCGCCGCCUCCCUCUGCACGCCUGUAUCCGGCCGCCGCCGUCCGGGUUUCAAACGACGGCGUCACCUAGGCCCUGAGCUCCAGAUCUCGGCCCCCUCCCUCUGACCAAUUCUAUCGAUUUUUUUCAGAUCUACUAAGUGUUUUAGUAGACCCAUACAAAACAUGUUCGAGAUGCCAAGAUAAAGGUCCUCUCCAACCUAAAACGAACUACUGAUGAGGAACGUUCUGAGUGGAAAAAGUUAUCAUCCAAGCUAAAGAUCUGAGAGUUUACACUUCCAUGCUCCAUUGACAUCAAGUUUUCAUCUUCAAAAAAAAUUCAGAAAUAUUAGCUAUUGAUAUUGCAGAUUUAGUCUUUGUGUAAAGUAAAAAUAAGUGUUGUAAUAAUUGCUUAGUAUCUUAUUGUAAUUGAGACAAAUAGUAAAUAGGCAAAAACUAAACAAUAAAAAUAAAAGUACCACAUAAAAAUGGAAAAAUCAUAAAAACAAAAAAAACAUAAAAAAGGAUUU